CCAAAAGUGCUGGUGCCAGCUGUGCUGCCCGUGGCAGAGGAGACAGAUGCACCCAAAAAGGAGCCCGUGGCUGCUGCUGCUCACCUUCCCACAAGCCUUGCUCUUGCCCUCAGCCCUGGGGGACCCUGGCUCUAGCCUGCAAUGAAACCAAAAAGGGAUGCCAGUCUUGAAUUCCUAGAAAAUCCAAUCAAAUCAGAAAGACCAGUGCAAGGAGACUCAGCUAGCGCCCAGCCUGACACAUCUGGGAGCGACUGCUCUAGGGAGGCUGUGGGCAUCUGAGAGAAGCAGAGCUGCCUGUGCCGCUCUGCCCUGCUCCACGGCCGUGGGGUGUGCAGGGCUCUCUGAGGCCAGACCUGGC